rnacentral:rRNA from 1 species
AGGUCAGUCGGGACUACCCGCUGAGUUAA